rnacentral:lncRNA from 1 species
GGUCCGAAGGAUCAAGGCAAACUUCCUGGUCAGGGCCAAUACACCCAGCCAUCUCAUGGUCCAAACACAAACAAGCAAAUUGUAGCAUCAACCACCUCUGGUGAAUAUAGGAUCAUCACGGGAUAAGGAGAUUGAACUGGUCCCCGGGAUGAAGACAAACUUCAUAGCUGUAUGAACCAGUCAGUCUGGGCCAAUCCACCCUGCCACCACGCGGUCCAAAUACAAAUGGCCACCAGACGAGCUGCCUGUGCCACCAAACACCAAUAGUGAAUAUAUAGGAAGAGCACAUUCGGCCCUUGAGAAUUACUCCUUCCUACAUUUGGAAAUAUUGGAGCAAGGGAG